rnacentral:rRNA from 1 species
UACGUAGGGGGCAAGCGUUGUCCGGAAUCAUUGGGCGUAAAGAGCGUGUAGGCGGCCCGAUAAGUCCGCUGUGAAAGUCCAGGGCUCAACCCUGGAAUGCCGGUGGAUACUGUCGGGCUCGAAUCCGGAAGAGGUGAGUGGAAUUCCUGGUGUAGCGGUGAAAUGCGCAGAUAUCAGGAAGAACACCAAUGGCGAAGGCAGCUCUCUGGGACGGUACUGACACUGAGACGCGAAAGCGUGGGGAGCGAACAGG